ensembl:lncRNA
AGCCCCAUAUUUAACCAGGAACAUGCACUUGUGCCUGCAUGCAGCCAUACACACGUAUGCCUGUGCCUGCACGUUCAGCAGCACAUGAGCCCGUCUCUUUACCCAGCCUGCAGAAACACGCCAAGCAGCUGAGUACGGAGGAAACAUGUCAUUAAAUACACUUUCCCUCCACACUUUCUUCCCAGAUGCGAGCCAACCUGGGCAGGCAGCCUACAGCCCUGCCCCAGCACUCUUCCAGGUCCCUGUGAGCUGGCUCCAGCCUGGGGGUAGGUGCUGCUGCUGCUGUGGGGCACAGGAUAUCACCCUGCUUCCUGCAGUCAGUGUUGCUGGCUGCUCCUGGGGCUGGGUUUGCCUGCUGGCAUGGGGUAGGUGGCAGAGGGCUGAGCAGGUGUGGUGGUCAUCCUGCUCCGGGGCUGCUCCCUCUGUGGGACAGCCAACUCCCGGCCCCACAGCAUCCUCUCCAGGUGCCGGCAGCGCUGCUGAACCUAAAAGGAGGCAGAAGGAGUGCCCAGCUCCUGCACGUGCAGCAUGGUCAGAUACAGCCUGGACAGGAGCAUUCACAAAGAGCCAGACCACACCGCUUACCACAUCGAUCCUGCGGACAAGGACGGGCCUGACCUCCAGCUCCAGCAGCCAGUCGGCUUCCAGGAUGCCGCGGUGGUACUCCUCCAGCUCCAGGUGCUUCUGCAGCUCCUCCAUCAGGGCAGCUGGAGCAGUGCCCAGUUGCGGCGGUGGGCGAAGAGGAGCGCAGCCAGGUGUGGGAUGGAGGCCGGGGAGAGCGGCUCCUCAUGCACAUACAGAUGCUCACACAGCGGGAACACCACCCUCGUGUCAAACCUCUCCUUCGUGGCCCGCAGGUGCUGCAGGUAAGAGCCCAGCCAGCCCACAUAGCCACGCACAUCGGGGCUUGGUGAGCCGGGCAGGUGCUUGGAGAGCCGCUCCAGGUCCUCCCAGCUGUCCAGCCUUCCUGAGGGGCUGUGAGGCAGCACCAGCAGCAGCACUUUGUGCAGCACACGGAGGUCGAAGCUGUGCCUGCACUGCUGCACGUGCCUCACAAAGACAUCGAUCUCACCUUCAAGGGCAGAGUAGAGAGCCUCCGUGGGGGCAGAGGGCUGGCAACUGGGAUCAGAGCUCAUCUUGAGGGCCAGAGCCACGGCAAUACACCAUGGAGGGGGAGCAGCUGGGUGCCUGUGCCCCAGCCCAGCCCUGGGGGAUGCUCUGGGAUGGGACAGACGUCCUUCUGCUCCUUGCAAGUUGCUCAGAUAUGUCUACACUCUGACUUGCAGCUUCUCCUGCCUCUGCUGCCUAUACAAAAGCGAGCUGUCAGCCUUGAUUGUCUGGAGAAAUCCUAAAAAUAAGAAGUCAGUUCCCCAAAUUAUCAGCUGUAUUAUUU